ACAUUCUAACUAUUUUUGUCCAUCUCCAUCUGCAGAAUUUAUUGUGACUUGCUUAAACAUUGUUUAGUCUGAGUAAGUCCAAACUUACUCAGCCCAACUUCGUCUAUCUAAAAGAUGUGACAAGUGGUCUAUCAGGCAUCCAGAGGAUGGCAAGGAAAGUGAGGAACCUUUCCAUGGUUGUAUUUCACUUUCCAUGGCCUUUGCUAUUUAAGACUCAUAUGCCAGCAAUGGAACACCUACACUUUUCUACCAAAAAAAGAAAAGAGAAUGAGAUAUAAGAGGUUGGUGACCAUCUGCAAAGCCUAGUAUGCUAUUAAAGAGGAGCCUGAAGUGCUUUGGCAGGGAAGGACUAUCACUUCUGCAUCAGGCUUGUCAGAUUGUGUAUCUGUUCACAAACUUCUUCCACUGUACAUCUAUACAGGCUGCCUUCUCUGGCGAGGCAUUUGAUACGGCUUUAUACGGCCUGAGCGGAGCAGCAUUGCAUAGGCACUGAAGAAAUGUUGAUGAUGAUGAUCUCAGUUGACUUCCUUCUUGAGUCCUAAAAAACUCUGGAAACUUCCACCUGAAUCGGACUCUGGUGUGUGAGGACAGUAAUACCACCUUGUGGAUCCUGAGAGAUACAACCUUUAGGUGUUCAUUAAGACUUUGCAGGGUCUAUGAGGCUUAAAAACAGACAGUCACUUACUCAAAUUUCCUUCUGAAAACAAGUAUAAUUCUAGUUUGGCUGCUCUUGAUCAGAAGUUCUGAAGAUCCCAAUUGCUGAUUUUAUCUAUGUCAGAGUCUUGCACCUGCAUUACUUACACUCAGGACAAUAAGAAAAAAAAGGAGAAUGUUCACAAAUCAGGACUCUGAAGGAUUCCUGAAGAGGGCAGGCCAGUUCAAAGACAUUUUCAGGAACAUAAUUAGGAAGUGGAUUAAUUCUUAAGAAACGUUCUACAAUGAAUGAUGGAUAGGUAAUCUUGAUGUUAUGAAGGACUACACUGAAAUUUAACUAUUUUGUCUUGUUAAAACAAGUAGAACGUAGAAAAGCCUGUGUUAGAACUUCACCUCUGUUGGCUCUCCAGAAGCCAAUUAAUUGUUCUCCAGAAAAAUUAAUGCUCCCCUACAAUAAAUAAAACAAGCUUUCACACCUUG